UACGUAGGUGGCAAGCGUUGUCCGGAAUUAUUGGGCGUAAAGCGCGCGCAGGCGGUCCUUUAAGUCUGAUGUGAAAGCCCACGGCUCAACUGGGGAGGGUCACUCGAUACUGAUCGACUUGAAGGCAGGAGAGGGAAGCGGAAUUCCCGGUGUAGUGGUGAAAUGCGUAGAUAUCAGGAAGAACACCCGUGGCUAAGGCGGCUCUCUAGUACGGUACUGGACGCUGAGACGCGAAAGCGUGGGGAGCGAACAGG
rnacentral:rRNA from 1 species